CCAUAAUGUGCAAAAAAGUGUUUUUUGUUUUCUCAUGAUUUUUCUGGUAACAUUAUAAUGAUUUUGUGAGAUUUACAAUCUGUUUGUCUUCAGUUAUCACUCUAAAAAUGUAUUUUUAUUGGUUGAAACCUUUGAAAAAUUUAUUGUUGAAACAAAGAAUCAAAACAUUACAAACGACUGAUUACUUUUGGUAAAUUGUUUUUGGACAUAAUAGAAUCAUCUCAAAAGUAUUAUUGAAAACUUUAUUUAUUCAUUAUGAAUUUUAUAUAUAUCUAUUAUAUGUAUGGUCAUCAUUUAAACAAAUAAUCUGUGCGCGUCUAAACUAUUACAUCACUAAAAAAUAUCAAUUUAAUAUACAUACUUAUGUACCUCGUAACAAUUACCUUUGUUAGUUUGGAAAUGCUGAUGUUAUCACAUGGGGGUUGUGUUUUUUCCGUAUGACAUAUUCAAAUACAAUAAUGGAGUAAAUGAAGAAUUCUAAAACCUAAAAAACAACAAUGGAUCUUUCUUUAAAACAAUUCGUCAAGCAAAAUUAAUUGCUCUGGUUAUCACAUAGAAACAAAAAGGAAUGAUAAAAAAUUUCUUUGUUAUUGCCUACGUCAUGGAUUUGUUGGAAUAACUGAGUUAAAAAAAUUAAAAAAUACUAAGGAAUCACUGGUAGCCAAACGCCAGAAAUCAAACGCCAUAUUUAUGUUAUUGAUUGGCUAUCAAAUAAAUAAUCGAAUCGAAAGCGGUUUUGUAGCUUACAAUGAAAAAUUGCCGACUCCAAAUGUAUUUGACAAGUGUUUUUUACUUUUUGAAUUGUGCUACUAAUUUUUAAGAUAUACCUAUGAUUAAUUUCACUAUGUGAUUUGAACGUUUGAUAAUUUCGAAAUAUUAGCCUAAUAUGAAUUUCGAAAAGAAGUGCAGUUCUUGAACUAUAUUUUUAAAUAGCAAAAUUUGGGUUCACUUGAAAUCUUGAGAGAAAAAUAUGAGCUCAAGCAGAGAACGUAAAUGAACGAGAAGGGAAUUUAUAAUUGUCUGUGGUAUUCUCUACUAUUUAACAGAAGUGAGAAUUUGUAACAACGUUCUCUGGCAGAAAUACGUAUCUACAAAAUAAAGAGAAAUAUUAAAUACUUUGAACAAAAGUUACAAAUGCCACCUCACAUA